ACACCGUUGGUGAAACGGUAUCAUGCAUCGUUGCCACUAGGACUCAACUCCUGAUUCGAUGCGGCAAGGGUUCGACUCCCUUACGGUGUA
rnacentral:tRNA from 3 species